rnacentral:rRNA from 1 species
CAGUCGCCGCGGUAAUGCGAAGGGGGCUAGCGUUGUUCGGAAUUAUUGGGCGUAAAGGGUGCGUAGGCGGCUUGACAAGUCUGUUGUGAAAUCCCCGGGCUCAACCUGGGAAUGGCAAUGGAAACUGGACGGCUAGAGUGUGUCAGAGGAUGGUGGAAUUCCCGGUGUAGCGGUGAAAUGUGUAGAGAUCGGGAGGAACAUCAGUGGCGAAGGCGGCCAUCUGGGACAACACUGACGCUGAAGCACGAAAGCGUGGGGAGCAAACAGGAUUAGAUACCCCUGUAGUCCCUGUCUCUUAUAC